UUUGGCACUCCUCAGUCCACCAAGUAAAAACAAUGACAAUAGACUCUGCUUUCACUUGGUGGACUGAGCUGUCAAUCAAAUGGCUCUGGGCGGGGCUUUCUGUCCAGGGUGGGUAGUCGUACCUGAUCACAGGAUUCCUGCCUGACGGCAGCUCCAAGCACGGCUGAAGUCAAGUGAUGGCACCGUGGCGCUUCGGCUGAUUCUACCAGCAGACACUGAAAGAGCUCUGAUAGUUUGGUGUCUCAUGUUCACUGUGAGGAUCUUCUGAGUGAAGCCAACAGAAGGAAAACCUCAUCUGCUUGUGAAGAAGGAGACUGAAUGGACGACAUCCUCAGUGAACCACUUCCUGUUUAACUUUCAGUUACAGAAGGACAGACCAACUCUCAGCAGUUUAUUAUUCUCUGUUCUUAGUAUUCACAGGUUCUAUUUAUCACCUUUAACUGCAUCUCUGCUGUUGGAGCAGAAAUACAAUAUAAAAAGUUAUAGCAAAUAUGCAGCAUUAAAACAUCAACACAUUCAGGGCAGGAGCUUCAUUAUUACCUUUAUUGCACAUUUAAAAACUACAUUAUUUAACAAUUGUGAACUGUAAAGAUGUGUAAACACAUGAAAUAAAUGGAUGAAAUAAACAA